UAACAAUAAUAAUUUAGCUGACCUAUUUUCGUUAAUGUUUUCCACAAUUCAUAGAAUAAAAUAUAUACAUCGAGUUCAUCAUGCGAUACAAUUCACGUGCUUAGCAUAAAAUCGUUGUCGUGUUCUUCUCUCCUGUAAGGAUUGCGCGUCGUUUUUAAAUUCGUACGUAACACAAAUUACAAUCGGCGCAACAACUAUCCGAUUAAAUACCAUAAAACACAUUGUUAUAAACGCAUAAUAUUAUAUUAGUGUUGUUGUUGUUGUUAUUAUUAUUACUGUCGUCAUCAACUCCCGCCUUAUACUGUAAUUAUACAUAUUUUUAGCCGUAUCGUAGAUGAUAUUUUAACUGUAUAGCAUUAACAAAAAAAGUAUCAAUUUAAUAUAAUUUAAUUACUUAAUACAUAGAGUAACUCGAUUAGUGACACUCAUCGAUAUAAGUAAAUAAGCUGCGUGAAAGAAGCUGAUAUAUCCGCUACGAUAGUGCCGUAGAUAAAGCUUGCCGUCAAAAGUCGUCGAAAAAGCUUUCAAAAUUAACCGCUCACGAGAAAGGGGUAUGGGCAAAGGAGAUAAAAAACCGACGUCCCAGAAUAGCGUUCUUCCAUACACUGUACGGAGUUGAAGGGAUCACCAAAAAUAAAAAAAAAUGGAAUCCUCGGCAAUACUCCAGUUGCAU